AGGCUUUGUUUGGAUUGAUGGAAUCGGAUGGAGCGGAAUGGAAUGGAAUAAAAUGAUAUUCCGUUGUUUGGAUAAUUUAAAAACUGAUGGAGCGGAGCGGAAAGGAGUGAUAUGGAUUUCAUUCCAUUCCAUCACUUACCACCAUAUUCCUUCCCCUCUGAUUUGGGCGGAAUGAAUAAUUUGUCUUAUUCCGUUCUAAAAUUUCCAAACAAUGGAAUGGUACAUUCGUUCCGCUCCGUUCCAUUCCAUUCCGCUCCAUUCCAUUCUGUUCCGUUCAUUUUGUGAUAUCCAAACAUACCCCUAGGGUUCACAGCGGUUUUGGUUCUCCGUUUCAUCUCGGAAAUUGAAAUUUGAUGUUCUUAUUUGAUGUUCAUUUAGUCAACUUGCAAUGUUUCCUCUUGCAAAUCUUAGGGUUUCGAGACUUCAUCUUAAGUCGCAAAUUCAAGAGCUUGAGUUCAUCUUUCUCUAUCCGCUGAUCGUUUUCCUCUCGCUUGCACGAUUGAAACACUCAAAUCCUUUCAGGAAGCUUAAUCAAGGGACACAUCAACUAUAAUGAUGAUUCAAUUUGAAGUGAUUUUCCAAUUCUGAAGUGGUUCACUGGAACAGAUUUUGUGAGAAUGGCAGGUUCAGAGAUUUGCAUAUGCCCUCUUUUGAAACUGGUUAGGUUCUUAUUCAAUUGCACGUUUAUGAUAUAUUUAAAACAGCGUGACAACAUAUCUGAUUCAAGAUGAUGCCUUUAAGACCGGCGAACUUGACUAUGUCAGUUGAGGUAUACAUGAAACGUAUAAGGUUGUUAAACUCCAAUUGUUAAUUUUUUAAGUUAUUUAUUGGUAGUAUCAUUUUAUUUUAACCAUUUUUCAUUAUUUCAGCUUUAAUGAAAUUUUAACUUUCAUGGCUUUAAUGGAAUUUUAACGAUGUUUAAGAGGCAGAGCUUCAGUUGCUAAUAAGUGUACUGAAAUGUUUGAAAUGGACUUGUUCCUUUGUUUUGAGUUUCAAUUGUUUCCCUUUUUGGAGUGAAGUUGGUUUAUGUUUGUGGACUGAAUGAUGUUUGAAUGUAGAAUUAUGCUGAAAUUCUGUUUUGCAACAUGGAUGCACAUCAUUGCUCUUAUGAAACUUAGCAUAUGUUGUCUUAUGAACAUACAUGGAAAUAUGUUAUAGUGCAUGUAUGAUGGGUUGUGUUAAUCUGUGCUUUAAACUGGACUUGAAAUGAGCAUGUGGCUUUGUAGUGGUCUUUGAACAACCUGAAGGUGAUUCAUACUGAAUUCCUUGCUUGUUUGUGAAGAAUUUCAAUGUACAUAAACAUUUACUCUCAAUGAUCCUGAUUUUGUACAUGUUGUCUCUUCUUUAAAUUGAACUUUGUAUUGAUCCAUGGCUUGUUUUGAUACUCUAUGCAGAUUUUGAUCCUGUUUUGCUGAAGUGGUAAUAUUGUUACUUUCUCAUCCUAUUCAUUUCUGAAAUUAGAUGAUUUUAAGUUAGAUUGAGUAUAAACUUAGGUGAUUUUUGUAAACAAGGUGUUUAUUGAAAUCCCACAAUGAGUUUACUUA